AUGGCUGCCGUUGCCAUGACACCCAACCCUGUGCAGACCCUUCAGGAGGAGGCGGUGUGCGCCAUCUGCCUCGAUUACUUCACAGACCCCGUGUCCAUCGGUUGCGGGCAUAACUUCUGCCGAGUGUGUGUAACCCAGUUGUGGGGCGGGGAGGAUGAGGAGGACAGGGAUGAGUUAGACCGGGGGGGCGGGGAGGAGGAGGAGGAGGAGGACGGGGAGGAGGAGGAAGUAGAGGCUGUGGAGGCUAGCGGGGGAUGGGACACCCCCAUGCGGGAAGAAGACUAUGAGGGUGACAUGGAAGAGGAGGUCGAGGAGGAAGAGGAGGGUGUGUUCUGGACCAGUGGCAUGGGCGGGUCCAGCUGGGACAACAUGGACUACGUGUGGGAGGAGGAGGACGAGGAGGAAGACCUGGACUACUACUUGGGGGACAUGGAGGAGGACCUGAGGGGGGAGGACGAGGAGGAAGUGCUGGAGGAGGACGAGGAAGAGGAGCUAGACCCGGUCACCCCAGUGCCCCCACCUCCAGCCCCUCGGAGGUGCUUCACCUGCCCCCAGUGUCGAAAGAGCUUUCCUCGGCGGAGCUUCCGCCCCAACCUGCAGCUGGCCAACAUGGUCCAGGUGAUAAGGCAGAUGCACCCAGCCCCUGGUCGAGGGAGCCGUGUGAAUGAGCAGGGUAUCUGUCCAAAACACCAAGAAGCCCUAAAGCUCUUCUGCGAGGUGGAUGAAGAAGCCAUCUGUGUGGUGUGCCGAGAAUCCAGGAGCCACAAACAGCACAGCGUGGUGCCAUUGGAGGAAGUGGUGCAGGAGUACAAGGUGAGAAAGUAA